rnacentral:misc_RNA from 1 species
UAAGUCUAAACUUGUCGUCCACACGUAACCCACUUACGUGUAACGAUCAUGCCCAUAUGUGUGAAUCUCGAGUGAAUUGCCCAAAAACAAGCUACUAGUUUCUCAUUACUUUGCGCGUGUGCGAUAUAAUUGCUACAGAUGUAAAACUACAAGAGGAAACAUUUCGUAUCUCCAGCGAUUGCAUUGCAACGCGGUGAAAGCUGUGGAGGUAUUUGUAAAUUGAUCCUUACUUAGCGACGCAGUGACCGGCUGUCACAACGUGGAAUCGGUUUACCAACGUUCCUCCGCACCUACUGGAACCGAUGCGGAUGUAAGCCUGAAAC